CGAACCUGCAGCCUCCGCAGUCAUACCCGGCGAAGUUCCCUGUUUCGCGAAGAGCGGGGAGAGGCGGUGAGGGGACACGCUUUGGGAGAAAAUUCUCAGGUGGAAUUCCAGCACCAGCUUAAAUGACUUCCUCCUCUCCUUCAUGGGCUCAAAAAGGAUUUUACAAGUGUGGUUUCAUCAUUAUCCCCAUUUCAGAGAUUGGAAAAUGAGGCACUUAGUCGCUUGUACAAACAAGAAGUUCUCAGCCAACUGUUCAAAAACUAUUUGGUGCCCAAGGAUUUCAAAAGCCCAGACACACAGCUGCAAGUGCCAUCUGCUCAUAAAUGGCGACUGUCAGAACAUGCCAGGUGACCCAGGCAAUCUGAAGCUUUACACAAAGGCUGUCACAAGAGCCCAGAACUACUUCCCGGGCCCUGCUCAGAAUAGUGAAGCCCAGACUCACAGCCAGCUUCCUCCCAGACCAGUCCUCCCGAAGGUCUAGAAUCCUUCAAAGCAAAUGUUUCCAUCUCAUCACAUUUGUCCUUUAGUCCUACGAGUGACCUCCAAGUCCUUGAAUCCUUGACUCCUCUUUCUUCCUUCCCCAUCAAUACUUUCUAAAGCACUUAGAGUGAAAUCAGACAUCUCUCCAUGUGCUUCUCAGAGUGGUCAGCAGAUCACAACCCCUGUGUUGCUGGCCUACAUUCCAAUGAGUACAUGAGGACAGAGAAUGGGAUUCAGCAUUUAGAAGCCUGGCAUUGCCACAAGCUCAAGUGCGAGUUCAGUCAGGUGUGAAUGUAGGGGGGCCAUUUGCCCAGAGACGAUGUGCAAUUAGAUCCCAUGUUAGCCUUAAAACUGUUUUUCAAGACUGUCCAUAGAUGCUUUGGGAAUUGCUGGACUAGAAGACCCUUCCCCUGCCGGCCUCUCUCUCCCCUCUGCAGUGGGCAGAGUACUGCAGUGACGAUCGUCUAGAUGGACCUGCUCAUUUCCAUCUUAGCCCUUGCACUGCUGUUUCUCCUGCCUGAAAUAUGCUCCCCUGCUUCCUAUCACUACAGCAUCAGCUCCUGAGAGAAGCUGCCCUUUGCCGUCCAUGCAGCGCCUCUCAGCCUGAACACGCUACCUUCAGAGAGCACGCUUUCGGCUUCUUCACAGUGCUCAUAUCUGUGGGAGGGAGAGAACCCCCUUUUGGCCCAUUCUGAACCGGCUCCAGUGCAUAUGCCCCAGCAUUUGCAGGAGGCUCUCCGCUCUCCUUGACAACUCCACUACAGGAUUUCUGACUUACAAAUGUACGGAUAAGCCUGCAUAGGAACAGCUGAGGGGAUGACUUCGAGCCCAACUUGACUGUCCUCUGGGAGGUUCCAGCCAGCAACAGCUGGAGACGGAUGCUGGGACUUGCAGCCAAGCAUGGGGCAGAGCUCCAGGGGUCCUGUGGAAGUGGGGGGGGAGGGGCAGGGUGAAGAUAGAAGGACAUGGAAGGGACAAAAACCUCACAAGAAGACGAACAGAGACAACUAACCCAGCCCCAUGAGGGCUUUCAGAGACUGAGCCAUCAACUAAGGAGCAUGCAUGGUCUAGACCAAGGCCCCCUGCACAUGGGUGGCUGAUGGACAGCUUGGUCUUCAUAUGGGGCACCUGGCGAGUGGAGGAGGGGCUGUUUCUAACAUGGACUCCGUUGCCUGCUUUUGGAUCACUUCCCCUUAGCAGCGCUGCCAAGAAGGUAAUUCUUAAAUAUUCUAUUCAUUUGAUAAGCCAUAGAAAAGAACUAUGUUCUUGUAGAUCAUGACAGAUAGCUGCAUAGAAUGUGCAAAUUUUAGUGUUAUGAAUUUUUCAUUUCUUAAAAGCAUCCUAUAAUAAAAAAAGAAAAACAAACAGAAAAGUAGUAUAAACCAAGAUAAUCUCUUAGGCUUUGAUUUAUCACGUUAUAAAGACAUGCAUAUUAUCACAAUAUUUUAUAGCCAUGAGAUCGUAGCACUAUGGAAGUGAACUCGGCCUUGGAAAUGGGCCUCACCUCGUGCAGUGACUUGAAGGCUGGACCAGAACUCGCUGGAGCCCUCUUGUCAUGGAGGAGGAAUGGGCUCCUCAUGAAAACAUUUAUUCCUCUCUAAAGGCCCAGCAGCCAGUGAAUAAGUAAGAUACAUGGGACCAGGAGCUGUCACAGGUAAAGUGCUUAAAACUCAAGCAUAGUACUGAAAAUAACAGAUAAACUUUCUAGGCUCAUGGGUAAUCUAGAUGAUCCAUUUCUGCUAAGGAAGUCUGAGGCCACAGAAAUCAUCUCAAUUGUGUAACAUGGCAGCGGAAACAAUGAGCCAUCAACUGAGUGGUAAUUUGAACAGAGAAAGUUUUCUUGUCUCAGGUUGAACGGCUGGGAGCGUGGGAUGACGUCUCUGAAGGAUUUGUUCCCAGCCCCUCCGGAAGUCUCUGGUAGUAGCGAGCUUGGAAUCACACAGCAUUCUGCUUUUGUGUCUCUGCAUCUGGAUUUCCCCUCUUAUAAGGGCACCAAUAUAUUAGACAAAGACCCCAGCCUACUCCGGUAUCACCUUGGUUUAGUGAAUUGCAUCCAAAAAAAGAUCACAUUCUGAGGCAUCAGAGAUGUGUAUUUAAGAAUAUAAAUUCGAAGGGGCACAAUUCAAGCCAACUGGACAUCAAAAUUCUUAAGCUUCAAUUUUGACAACCAUAUCACAUCUUCAAACUUUGGGCUUCAGAAGGAGAGUUUGGGGUCAUGUUAAUGAAGAAGAAAGUUGUAGAUAACUAAAUAACAAAGGUCUUAGCUGUUUUCCAGUGAUGUGCAGAGCUCGCUUAUCUCUCUGGCACUCCAUAUUGGAGAAGGAAACUCUGUAAGGGUGAUUAUUCAUCAGUCCGGACCAGGAGCACUGAGGAGUCCUGCCAGCUGCUACUACUCACAGCUUCCUUGAGCUGCACCAUCCCAACAGUGUUAGAUGAGACAAGUUAAAGACCAUUUAGACUAUUUCAGAAUACUCAAAUAACAGACCACAGAGCUCAAGAGAUCAGACCUCCCAAAUCUCUGAGCAAUGCUCCUUUCUCACAGCCAAGGAGAACUCAGACGUUCUUUCCUGGUCUUUAUCCUUUUCCGUCUGUUUACCUUUAUCUCAGGCAUCUUGGUAUAAAAGUUGAUUUUAAUUAAUCUCUCUACCAACUAAGAGUUAGGGGCAGGCAGAUAGUAAGUACACAAUAAUUGACAGAUAAACUUACUAACUGAAUGAGGACAGAGAAGCGGUGUGCCUUUAUGAGAAUCAGAACCACUGAGAUGGCCAGCUAGCCUAUGGACUCGCUCUCCCUACUGUAUGGAAAGGUACUCCAGGACACACCUCUUUUUCCUUCCGAGUCAGAGGUAGGUUUUUCCUCUGAGCUAACCCUUUCCUUCUUUCUCUCCUACAUUCUGCCUUUGAACUGAAGUCAUUAAGAUCUCUCCAUGUGGCAGCCUCUCUUCUUACAAAAGAUGUGGUCACAUCAUUCUC